CUUGGCACUGAGGACAGGCAGCAGGUGGCCAGAGACCAGACUCCUCUUCAUACCACAAAUCCAAGCUUGGAAGCCUUUGUUAUCUUCUCUUCAAUUAUAUCAGGAAGACCAUCUGGGGCUCAGUCUCCAAACCCAUCUUCAGAGCACCAGAUUGGACCUUGGAGUGCUGCUGUCACUUUUACCUUCAGGCUAAAACCUUAAGUGAUUUGAGAAUCCUGGAGCAGACCUCAGAAAACUGCAUUUGUACCUUCAUCUGCUGUGGCUGAGUUUAUACUGUUCUUUACUGUGAUCUUUUUCUUUAUGCAAGUUAUCUGGCUGAUGGU
rnacentral:lncRNA from 1 species